rnacentral:rRNA from 1 species
GAUGAACGCUGGCGGCGUGCCUAAUAUAUGCAAGUAGAACGCUGAAGCUUGGUGCUUGCACCGAGCGGAUGAGUUGCGAACGGGUGAGUAACGCGUAGGUAACCUGCCUCUUAGCGGGGGAUAACUAUUGGAAACGAUAGCUAAUACCGCAUAAAAGUCGAUAUCGCAUGAUAUUGAUUUGAAAGGUGCAAUUGCAUCACUAAGAGAUGGACCUGCGUUGUAUUAGCUAGUUGGUGAGGUAACGGCUCACCAAGGCGACGAUACAUAGCCGACCUGAGAGGGUGAUCGGCCACACUGGGACUGAGACACGGCCCAGACUCCUACGGGAGGCAGCAGUAGGGAAUCUUCGGCAAUGGGGGCAACCCUGACCGAGCAACGCCGCGUGAGUGAAGAAGGUUUUCGGAUCGUAAAGCUCUGUUGUAAGAGAAGAACGAGUGUGAGAGUGGAAAGUUCACACUGUGACG